CCAAAACAGGUAUACAACACCCAUUCUGAGUCGUCAAAAUACAUGGUACAGAAACAACUACAACUUUAUCAAUACAACGUAAAAACUGUGAGUUUAAAUACAAAUAUUGUCAUCUAGACAAUAUCCACACUCAAAUAAGUCCUCAUUAUAAUUAUUAAUACACUAUUUUACAGAAUAGUGAGGACUACUAGAACAACUUCUAGAACCAUCAUUCCACACCCCGACUAGUACUCGUUACAUUCUCG
rnacentral:lncRNA from 1 species